AGGUAUUGAAGAAGCGGAAACAGCCACAGGAAGUAGCCAUCUUAUCCAGCACGUUAUGGGUAGAACUUGGCGGCUCCUGCUCCUGCCUUCCACCACCACCCUGUCCCGACUGCUUCCACUAGAGAGUUGGCAACCUUAGUGAUGAUGCCAAGCAGUCCGAUGGCAGACGGCAAGAUGCAGGUUGCUGCGAAAUUUUACCCGAGCUUGGCCACACACUUGAGCCAGGCCUCUUGGAAAGGAUGCCAUAAUCAGACUCCACGCGUCGAUGUCAGAGGAUGCCAGGGAUCAAGGCAACCUGUUGUGCCCCACUAUUCAAUGUUUGGUGACCCUUCUAUGUGUUUCACCCAUUUCGCAGCUGUACCUCGGCUGCCAUCUAUCCAAACAGCAUCGCCAGCUGUGCCCACUUGUUGAACCAUGGGCAAAUAUUGGCAUGGAGUGUUCCCUGGGCUUCAUGUUCUAUUUGCUCUUCAGGAUUCUUGGCAAAUACUCCUGUUAUAAGUUACAUGUUUUUAGUACCGACUUUUUAA